CCCGCCACUGUGGCAGUUUAUUUCCUGACUGCCCACAGUCCAGUGGUGAGCUAAUAACAACCGCCAUCUUAGGAAACAGGUGCAUUCUGGGUGUGGGUGAACCUGUGCCGAAAGAUUGGAAACAAGC
ensembl:snoRNA